rnacentral:rRNA from 1 species
UACGUAGGGUGCGAGCGUUAAUCAGAAUUACUGGGCGUAAAGCGUGCGCAGGCGGUUUUGUAAGCCAGAUGUGAAAUCCCCGGGCUUAACCUGGGAAUGGCAUUUGGGACUGCAAGGCUAGAGUGUGGCAGAGGAGACUGGAAUUCCUGGUGUAGCAGUGAAAUGCGUAGAUAUCAGGAGGAAUACCGAUGGCGAAGGCAGGUCUCUGGGCUAACACUGACGCUCAUGCACGAAAGCGUGGGGAGCAAACAGG